GGCGAGAUGGCCGAGCGGUCUAAGGCGCCAGACUAAGGUCCUGUAUCAAGGAUUUAUCUGGUCCGAAAGGGCGUGGGUUCGAAUCCCACUCUCGUCA